rnacentral:rRNA from 1 species
AGCGAACGCUGGCGGCAGGCCUAACACAUGCAAGUCGAGCACCCAGCAAUGGGAGCGGCAGACGGGUGAGUAACGCGUGGGGAUGUGCCCAAUGGUGCGGAAUAACCCAGGGAAACUUGGAUUAAUACCGCAUGUGCCCUUCGGGGGAAAGAUUUAUCGCCAUUGGAUCAACCCGCGUCUGAUUAGCUAGUUGGUGAGGUAAAGGCUCACCAAGGCGACGAUCAGUAGCUGGUCUGAGAGGAUGAUCAGCCACACUGGGACUGAGACACGGCCCAGACUCCUACGGGAGGCAGCAGUGGGGAAUAUUGGACAAUGGGCGCAAGCCUGAUCCAGCCAUGCCGCGUGAGUGAUGAAGGCCUUAGGGUUGUAAAGCUCUUUCGCCGGGAAGAUAAUGACGGUAACCGGAGAAGAAGCCCCGGCUAACUUCGUGCCAGCCGCCGCAGUAA